CAUGCUUUGCAGAGGCUACAGCGUCGCUCUCAUUGGUAGCGUCAGCUUCUCGCCACACGGAGUCUUUGCUCGUUCGCUGCUACACGCCGAGAGAAACCGGGAAUACACAGCGACUGCCUAGAGCUGCGGUGAAGUAAUAACGCUCAGAUGAAGUGAAAGAAACAGCAGGGCACGGAUAAAUACGAGCAGAGCGCACGGUGUGCUUGGGAUCCACCAUAUGGCGUGGACCAUUUCCACGGUGCACUAUGGGAUAAUGGAGGAUUUUUUUUUAAUGCCUUCCUCGGUUUUGGACAAAAAGCAGUCGACGGACACGGAUCAAGUCAUUUUUGACUGCUAAAGCGGUCUGGGACGUAUAAUCACUUUGCCUCCAAACUGGCUGUUCUGCGUUAAAGUCCUGUAACUUAACCUCUUUUUUUUCUCCAGCUGAAUGUUUUUCCCCCGCUCACACACACACUCUAAGGUAGGCCUGUACAAUCACCGGGAGAGGAUCUGAUCUCUUUUGAUGCAUACGGGAUGCUUUGGAUUUUAAAAAAAAAUCUUUACAUUUUUGGCCAAACUUGACAUCCCAAAAACAUCUUUAGUUACACGUCAGAGGCCUCGGAGGCUGCAGAAAUAAAGACUGAUUAUUAUUUGUCGUAACAGGUUUUACGCAAAGGUUUGGAGGUGUCUGCCCUUUUCCCACAGUAGAGUGGAUGCAGCUGGUGGACGGACACACACACACGCGCAAACACACACAGAUGAGCGGGUUGUGUCUCUCCGUGUUCACAGCGGACCUUGAUUUAAUGUCUUACAAUUAAGGCACGCGGUGAAUGCCAAGAGAUGAUCUUCCUAUCUUCUCCGAUCUGCACACCCCAGAAAUCAAAAGUUUAAAGUUGCAGAUUUAUUUUUUUAAGAAAAAAAAAGAUAGAUAGCCUAUAAUGUUAUUAAAACUAUACUGGUGGCGUUCUCACACUGAACUUUUGCUCUUGUGUUUCAAACUGUAAUUCGUGUGCCGUCAUUCGUGUGCUGUCUCUUUUCCUCCUGCAUUUAACAAUAAACAAAAUACAAUAUU